UACGUAGGGGGCAAGCGUUGUUCGGAGUUACUGGGCGUAAAGGGUGUGUAGGCGGUCCUCCAAGUUUGGUGUGAAAUCUCCCGGCUCAACCGGGAGGGUGCGCCGAAAACUGGGGGGCUAGAGUGCGGGAGGGGAGAGUGGAAUUCCUGGUGUAGCGGUGAAAUGCGUAGAUAUCAGGAGGAACACCGGUGGUGUAGACGGCUCUCUGGACCGUAACUGACGCUGAGACACGAAAGCGUGGGUAGCAAACAGG
rnacentral:rRNA from 1 species